rnacentral:rRNA from 1 species
CAGUAGCCGCGGUAAUACGAAGGGGGCUAGCGUUGCUCGGAGUUACUGGGCGUAAAGCGCGCGUAGGCUGUCUCUUAAGUUUGGGGUGAAAGGUUCACGGCUCAACCGGAACAGUGCCUUGAAUACUGGGAGACUUGAGUUUGGCAGAGGAUAGUGGAAUUCCUGGUGUAGCGGUGAAAUGCGUAGAUAUCAGGAGGAACACCCAUGGCGAAGGCAGCUAUCUGGGCUAAAACUGACGCUGAGGUGCGAAAGCGUGGGGAGCGAACAGGAUUAGAUACCCCCGUAGUCCCUGUCUCUUAUA